rnacentral:rRNA from 1 species
CCCUUAGAUGUUCUGGGCCGCACGCGCGCUACACUGCUUUGUUCAACAAGUUUGAUUUCCCUGCUUUCGAAAGGGGUGGGUAAUCUUUUAAACGCAAAGCGUGCUUGGGAUCGAUUUUUGCAAUUUUAAAUCGUCAACGAGGAAUCCCUUGUAUUUGCAAGUCAUCAACUUGCAGAGAAUACCGUCCCUGCUCUUUGUACACACCGCCCGUCGCACCUACCGAUUGAGUGUUUCGGUGAAGAUUCCGGAUAGGACUUUUUUGAUUUAUUUCAAUUCUGUCUUAAAAGCUAUCUAAACCUCAACAUUUAGAGGAAGGUGAAGUCGUAACA